CAGCCGCCGCGGUAAAACGAAGGGUGCAAGCGUUACUCGGAAUUACUGGGCGUAAAGCGUGCGUAGGUGGUGGUUUAAGUCCGUUGUGAAAGCCCUGGGCUCAACCUGGGAAUUGCAGUGGAUACUGGGUCACUAGAGUGUGGUAGAGGAUAGUGGAAUUUCCGGUGUAGCAGUGAAAUGCGUAGAGAUCGGAAGGAACAUCUGUGGCGAAGGCGACUAUCUGGGCCAACACUGACACUGAGGCACGAAAGCGUGGGGAGCAAACAGGAUUAGAUACCCGCGUAGUCCCUGUCUCUUAUAU
rnacentral:rRNA from 1 species